GUGCUUGCUUUGGCAACAUACAUACUAAAAUUGGAACUACACAAAGAUUAGCAUGGAUCCUGUACAAAAAUGACCGGCAAAUCAGGGCGCAGUCCAUAGUUGUC